rnacentral:tRNA from 1 species
GGCCGACUAGCUCAGUUGGUUACAGCGUGGUGCUAAUAACGCCAAGGUCGUCCGUUCGAUCCCGGCGUUGGCCA